CAAAACAGUAUCAAGCAAUUCUAUACUAUUAUAGAACAUUUUAUGUUAAAACUAGUAACAAGAAUAACAACUUCUCUUAAAUGCAAACGUAAAUCAGACAGGACCAACCACUGACAAUUAACACAUGAACCCCUAGUAACAACAAAUCAAGAAAACCCUACUAAGCCCCAUGUUAACCUAACACAAGAGCAUUUCAAGAAAGAUUAAAAGAAAAAGAAGGAACUCGGCAAAUUUUAACCCCGCCUGUUUACCAAAAACAUCGCCUCUUGCAUAAACAUAAGAGGUCCAGCCUGCCCAGUGACUUUGUUCAACGGCCGCGGUAUCCUAACCGUGCGAAGGUAGCGUAAUCACUUGUUCUUUAAAUGAGGACUAGUAUGAAUGGCACCACGAAGGUUACACUGUCUCCUUUAUCUAAUCAGUGAAACUAAUCUUCCCGUGAAGAAGCGGGAAUAAAAUAUAAGACGAGAAGACCCUAUGGAGCUUUAAACACACUAAUAAUUGCCUCACCCACACCACUCCCAGAAAACAACCAAAUCCAGGCAUUAUAAUUACAAGUUUAGGUUGGGGUGACCACGGAGCAUAACAAACCUCCGUAAUGGCGGGAGUUUUCCCCUUAACCAAGGGCCACAGCCCAAGAAAUCAAUAAAUUGACAUAUAUUGACCCAAUACAUUUGACCAAUGAACCAAGUUACCCUAGGGAUAACAGCGCAAUCCACUUCAAGAGCCCCUAUCGACAAGUGGGUUUACGACCUCGAUGUUGGAUCAGGGUGUCCCAGUGGUGCAGCCGCUACUGACGGUUCGUUUGUUCAACGAUU
rnacentral:rRNA from 1 species